UUGAUAAGAGAAAUAUUAGGACUUUGUUUAGAAUUACAAAAAUACUACGUUUUAUGUGAUAAGAUAAUAUGAUGAAACAAUAUUUUGUUUGUUUUUGUAUAUAAAUUUAUAUUACAGGUAAAUCGUAAUGAGACGGCUAUAAUAUAUUUUUUGUAGUCUCACUUGAAAACAAAAAUAUAUUUUUCUAUAUACUUUCAUCCAACUCUCUUUUGAGUAAUAAUAUAUAUUAUAUGACUUUCAAUACGGAGUAGGCCUUCAAAAUUUAUAGUCCAAAAAGCGUUUGUAAUCAACCCUAUGAUCGCCAUCGUAGGAAUUAUUAUUAUUAUUAUUUUUUUUUUGAAAGAUAGGUAGCACGCUAUCCGUUUCGUUUAUUUCAUUUAGAAAUAAACUUAGCUGAAAAUGUGAAUCAACUAGGAUUCGAACUUGGGUCUCGGAUACCAACCACUGAGCUUGCUCUAGGGACGGUCGGUCAUUAAUGAGUCUAUUAUUUUCGGAUUUUAGUAUUAAAAAGACAGAGAGAAAGAGAGUAAGCUAUAAAGGUUGAUAAGAAUAGUGUAUGAAACUGGAAGGUUAGAUGAUCAAAUUGUAAUGUUACAAU
rnacentral:lncRNA from 1 species